rnacentral:lncRNA from 1 species
AUUUCAUUUGAUUUUAUCUUAUUUUUUGAACUGAACAUGUUAUUUGGAAAUGAAAAACAAAGAACAUUAAAAAAAACAGACAAAAAUCUAUUCCUUUAUCACUAGUUUCUUGGGAAAAUUUAUCUAACAUUAUUUUUCCUUUUUAGUAUGCUUGUUGUAAUCCAUUUAUUUUCUUUUCACUUCUUGUCGAGCCUUCAUUCUGGAACAGCUUUCUUCCCAUGAUUAUAUUUCUGAAUCCUCUGAGAUCUCUGACUAAAUUGUGUGGAACAUGUGCUACUGUAAGAUUUCACUGAAACGUAUGAAGAAUAAAGAAUUCUGUUUCCUUGAAUUCCCUUUCGUACAUAAAAUAUUUGGCACGGGAAGAGUUGAUGUAGCUCCUGUCUUCACGGAGACCUUGGAAAUGGGGCAGAUCCCUGGACCCCUUUUCUGCAGCUUCCUUCCUGGAAGGCAGGUAGAGGCGGGGUGGGGACUGCUGCAUUCUGGUCUCCCUUGUCACAGUCCUAGACCUCCUUUUCAUAAUUUUUUUCUUGUAAUGUACUCCCUAGAAAAAGAAGCAAAAGCUCCAAAGGCAAAAAAAAAGUGCAAAAAAAUAUCAAAAAGUGGGGAUGGUUUAAAGAAAGGGAAUAAAAGGGGCAAGAGGGGGCUCUGCCUUCUUUAGGUCUACCCAGGAUGUCUUUCCUGGUUUAUGAUUCUUCCUCUGUUGAACCACAAAGAGAAAAAUGUAUUAGGCCUCUGAAUACCAGGGUAUAUUGUCUGUCAAAGGGUUUGCCAGUUAAAGAACCAAUUAAUUUCCAGCUCUUACAGCUCAUGCGGCUAUAAAAAUAGGAUCUUCUAUGGCUUUUGAAAUGUUGGAUGUACUCUCUUCUUGAAAGAAGAGAAUUGAAACCGGCUUUUCUCUUUUCUAAAAGGAAAAAAAACCCAACAUUUUGGCACUUUGAUAUUUUUCUUUCAGAAUCUGCCCCCAAGAUGUGUGACUUCCACAUUUAUGUGUAUGUGCGCGCGCGCACACACACACACACACACACACACACACACACACACACACACAUGCGUAUUUGCACCCAUUGAUGCAGAGGUGGUUUACUCUAGAGUUAAUGCAGAUAUUUUCUUCUCCCAAGCAAGUGAUUAUUUCCUUUCCUCCAUGGUCAGAUGGAUGACUUGAACAGCUUGGAAGGGCAAGGGCAAGAAAAGCUUUGAUUUAUCUGCUGCUGAACUGAUUUAGACAAAUGCAGGAAGAUGAUACAUCACUGAAUUAGGGCGAGCAGGACAAUAAUGAGAACCUAACGUGGGUGACAAGUGCACACUAAAAUCCAUAUUACUACUAAACAAGCAGGCAUGUGUGUAUACCCUGUGCCUUAUUUUAUGUGAUAGAGUGGUACUUGCCAUGUUUCAGAAUAGUUUAAUGAAUGCUUUAGAUCUGUAAUUAGCAGAGCUCUCAUGUGCUCACGAGAUGCUGGCAUUGGUGUGUGGUGAAUUAUUCAAUAAAUAUGAUACAGAAAUUCA